AAAGCAUGUCAGGGGGACAUCUUUUGAUCAAUUGUUUGUAUCUUUCCCAAGCUUCACAGAGGGAUUCACCUUCUCUUUGUUUGAAGGUUUGAACUUUCAUUCUAAUUUU